rnacentral:rRNA from 1 species
GACGAACGCUGGCGGCGUGCUUAACACAUGCAAGUCGAACGGAAAGGCCUUUUCGGAGGUACUCGAGUGGCGAACGGGUGAGUAACACGUGGGUGAUCUGCCCUGCACUCUGGGAUAAGCCUGGGAAACUGGGUCUAAUACCGGAUAGGACCGCACUUUAGUGUGUGUGGUGGAAAGUUUUUUCGGUGUAGGAUGAGCCCGCGGCCUAUCAGCUUGUUGGUGGGGUAAUGGCCUACCAAGGCGGCGACGGGUAGCCGGACUGAGAGGUUGGUCGGCCACAUUGGGACUGAGAUACGGCCCAGACUCCUACGGGAGGCAGCAGUGGGGAAUAUUGCACAAUGGGCGCAAGCCGGAUGCAGCGACGCCGCGUGGGGGAUGACGGCCUUCGGGUUGGAAACUCCUUUCGCCAGGGACGAAGCGUUUUGUGACGGUACCUGGAGAAGAAGCACCGGCUAACUACGUG